rnacentral:rRNA from 1 species
ACGAGCGCAACCCUCGUCGCUAGUUAUUCUCUCUAGCGAGACAGCCUCCCGCAAGGAGGAGGAAGGUGGGGACGACGUCAAGUCAUCAUGGCCCUUAUGUCCAGGGCUACACACACGCUACAAUGGCCGGUACAAUGGGUUGCCAAAUCGCGAGAUGGAGCCAAUCCCACCAAAGCCGGCCCCAGUUGGAAUUGCAGGCUGAAACCCGCCUGCAUGAACGCGGAAUCGCUAGUAACCGCAGGUCAGCAUACUGCGGUGAAUACGUUCCCGGGCCUUGNACACACCGCCCGU